AGCGCAGGCGGUGCGGCAAGUCUGAUGUGAAAGCCCGGGGCUCAACCCCGGUACUGCAUUGGAAACUGUCGUACUAGAGUGUCGGAGGGGUAAGCGGAAUUCCUAGUGUAGCGGUGAAAUGCGUAGAUAUUAGGAGGAACACCAGUGGCGAAGGCGGCCUGCUGGACUGUUACUGACACUGAGGCACGAAAGCGUGGGGAGCAAACA
rnacentral:rRNA from 1 species